UACAGAGGUCUCAAGCGUUGUUCGGAUUCAUUGGGCGUAAAGGGUGCGUAGGCGGCGCGGUAAGUCGGGGUGUGAAAUCUUGGAGCUUAACUCCGAAACUGCAUUCGAUACUGCCGUGCUUGAGGACUGGAGAGGAGACUGGAAUUUACGGUGUAGCGGUGAAAUGCGUAGAUAUCGUAAGGAAGACCAGUGGCGAAGGCGGGUCUCUGGACAGUUCCUGACGCUGAGGCACGAAGGUCAGGGGAGCAAACGGG
rnacentral:rRNA from 1 species